CAGCAGCCGCGGUAAUACGAAGGGUGCAAGCGUUAAUCGGAAUUACUGGGCGUAAAGCGUGCGUAGGCGGUGAGUUAAGUCUGCUGUGAAAUCCCCGGGCUCAACCUGGGAAUGGCAGUGGAUACUGGCUCGCUAGAGUGUGUCAGAGGGUGGUGGAAUUCCCGGUGUAGCGGUGAAAUGCGUAGAGAUCGGGAGGAGCAUCAGUGGCGAAGGCGGCCACCUGGGACAACACUGACGCUGAGGCACGAAAGCGUGGGGAGCAAACAGGAUUAGAUACCCUGGUAGUCCACGCCCUAAACGAUGCGAACUGGAUGUUGGUCUCAACUCGGAGAUCAGUGUCGAAGCUAACGCGUUAAGUUCGCCGCCUGGGGAGUACGGUCGCAAGACUGAAACUCAAAGGAAUUGACGG
rnacentral:rRNA from 1 species